rnacentral:rRNA from 1 species
AGACCCGAAACCCGGUGAUCUAGCCAUGGGCAGGUUGAAGGUUGGGUAACACUAACUGGAGGACCGAACCGACUAAUGUUGAAAAAUUAGCGGAUGACCUGUGGCUGGGGGUGAAAGGCCAAUCAAACCGGGAGAUAGCUGGUUCUCCCCGAAAGCUAUUUAGGUAGCGCCUCGUGAAUUCAUCUCCGGGGGUAGAGCACUGUUUCGGCUAGGGGGCCAUCCCGGCUUACCAACCCGAUGCAAACUGCGAAUACCGGAGAAUGUUAUCACGGGAGACACACGGCGGGUGCUAACGUCCGUCGUGAAGAGGGAAACAACCCAGACCGCCAGCUAAGGUCCCAAAGUCAUGGUUAAGUGGGAAACGAUGUGGGAAGGCCCAGACAGCCAGGAUGUUGGCUUAGAAGCAGCCAUCAUUUAAAGAAAGCGUAAUAGCUCACUGGUCGAGUCGGCCUGCGCGGAAGAUGUAACGGGGCUAAACCAUGCACCGAAGCUGCGGCAGCGACGCUUAUGCGUUGUUGGGUAGGGGAGCGUUCUGUAAGCCUGUGAAGGUGUGUCGUGAGGCAUGCUGGAGGUAUCAGAAGUGCGAAUGCUGACAUAAGUAACGAUAAAGCGGGUGAAAAGCCCGCUCGCCGGAAGACCAAGGGUUCCUGUCCAACGUUAAUCGGGGCAGGGUGAGUCGACCCCUAAGGCGAGGCCGAAAGGCGUAGUCGAUGGGAAACGGGUUAAUAUUCCCGUACUUGGUGUUACUGCGAAGGGGGGACGGAGAAGGC